GAUGAACGCUGGCGGCGUGCCUAAUACAUGCAAGUCGAGCGAACAGACGAGGAGCUUGCUCCUCUGACGUUAGCGGCGGACGGGUGAGUAACACGUGGAUAACCUACCUAUAAGACUGGGAUAACUUCGGGAAACCGGAGCUAAUACCGGAUAAUAUAUUGAACCGCAUGGUUCAAUAGUGAAAGACGGUUUUGCUGUCACUUAUAGAUGGAUCCGCGCCGCAUUAGCUAGUUGGUAAGGUAACGGCUUACCAAGGCAACGAUGCGUAGCCGACCUGAGAGGGUGAUCGGCCACACUGGAACUGAGACACGGUCCAGACUCCUACGGGAGGCAGCAGUAGGGAAUCUUCUGCAAUGGGCGAAAGCCUGACGGAGCAACGCCGCGUGAGUGAUGAAGGUCUUCGGAUCGUAAAACUCUGUUAUUAGGGAAGAACAAAUGUGUAAGUAACGAUGCACGUCUUGACGGUACCUAAGCAGAAAGCCACGGCUAACUACGU
rnacentral:rRNA from 1 species